rnacentral:lncRNA from 1 species
AAACUGAAUGGUUGAAAUGACCAAAAAAAAAGGUUGCAACCAUUUAAAAUGGUUGUUUCAACCAAUUAAAUUGGUUAAAACCAAAUUAAAAUGGUAGAAAUAACCAAUAAAAAAUUGGUAAAAUGGAUAUGAAAGCUCAUAUUGGUAAAAACAACCAAAUAUAUUUAGUAGCAACAAAUAAAAUUUGGUUAAAUUUACCAAUUACUCUUUGUGGUCAAUGGGGUAUAUUUGUAGACUUCUGGUUCUAUGUUCUAUUGAAUCCAAUAAAAUAUGCUAGAAUGCUAUAGCACAUUCUAAAUCCUAUGGCUAUAGAAUAUUCUAUAGGACUUCUUAUGAUCUUAUGCUAUAUAGAAUUCCAUUGCCGUAUUCUAUAGAAUUCACAAAUCCUAUAGAAUUUACAAAUCCUAUAGAAUAUUAAAUCUUAAAAUUAAAUUUCUCAGCAAAAAUCACUCGUUUUGUAAGGACAAAUCACACAUGCAUGUAUCUGUAAACUGUCUUCAUAAUAUACCUGUUCGCAGGUUACGUGGCGGGCGUUUUGCCCAAAGAGGACCGCAAGGUUAUGUGGGACUUGUAUAACCGACACGCGUUAUUUUCAAAUUUUGAGCGCGUCUUUGACUCUUUGUCAUCGGUUCAAGGUUUUAUAGUAGAAUUUAGUGAGUUUUUCUUUCGUAUUUUAACAUAAAAUACGCGUUAUUUGAAUUUGUCAAUGAGUAGUCAUGCGAAAUUGGUGAAACACGCUGGAUUAAUAUGCGAGGAGAUCCGGAUUAUUUGUGAAUAGUGACUGUGAUCGCGAGGAAGAAGUAAUUGUGUCAUGGCCAUGUGGAAUUUCUAAAGUUGAUAAGAAAAUAAUCAAAGGUUCCAUUCAACUAUCUACAAUUUCAACAACAACAUGUGUACAGCUAAAGUAUUAUAAUUCAGUGGCUUCAAGAUCACCUUUAAGUGCAAGAUUCUUGUGACUGAUGCUGAAUCAGAAAUCCUCAAAUUCUGAUGCUGAAUCAGAAAUCCUCAAAUUCUGAUGCUGAAUCAGAAAUGGCAAGUAUUAUUGUAUUUAUGCUGUCAAAACUCAACAACUGUAAAUCCUACUUCUGGUGAAUCAUAUAGAUAAUAUAAUAUACCUUUUAUUUAUAUCAUUAUAAAUAGGGCCAUUACAACUAUUUCUGUCAAUGCUUUUGCAGUACAUUUAUAAAUUCUAUAGCUAUAUCAUGGCAUCAUGCUAAGAAUGAAUAAGGUGUCAAAUGUUUAAAUUUCAUAUUUACUGUUAAAAUUUACAGAUUUUCUUAUAUCCAAACAUAUUAACCAAAGGUCAAAAUUUGGUUUAUGCAAUUAUGGGCAUGUCAAGGAUGCAAGAACAACUUUGCUCUCAUUCCAUCCCUGGGAAACUUUCAAAUUAUGCCUUUAAAGAAAAGGAUGCAAAACCCCAACUCGACCCAGAGAAAGUUAAGAGUAUAUGUGAGCAUCAUUUCGAUGCACAUGGUUAAGAUGCCCAAACAUUGAUUCAAAGAAGCCAUCAAUGCUGGCUGUUCUGGAAAAGAACAAGAACAAAGAUGUCCAACACAUUAUUGGUCUAUUAGAGGAUUGUCACCCGAACUAGAAAAAGGAUGACAGUGGUGUUGAAAUUUAGACCAUUGUAAAAAAAGAACAUUCCCGAAGUUGCUAUUAACUGGAUCUCUUGGUUACAUCCAUUCACUGGACCUUUUGGCUGAAGGCAUGGUAGCAAUAAAGUUUAAGCAGUUUUCCAUCUUAAAUGCUGUUGUGUGUUUGCUGACUGCAUUGUAUGUAUCCAACGCAGAGAACCCUAAAGAUGGAGGUGGGUAGACAAAGAAUGUGUUCCUUCUUCUGGACCAGA